GAAACUAUUUCAUUCUGUUCUGUUUUGUAUAGGGAAAUGCGGUGGUGUUCGUUUUGGAGCAUCGCAAGUGUGUUGUUGUGGAGCAGUUCACGAGAGGAAAGAUGGUUAUGACUGCUGCGGAUUCAGGUAUUACGAUACUCGAAUUCAGAGAUGCGAAGAUUUUUCAUACACACUGGUGAACAUCUAAGCCUAAGGAACUCUUUAUAUUAAUACUUGCCAACUAACUUAGAAAAUUAGACACAGCGUAACCGUGGGACUGUUUAAAGCUGGUAUAGCUUUAUAUACUUUAUACUUAAUUGGCAUUUUAUGCGUAAACAGUAAAAGGGUGUGUAAUCAAUUUUGAUAAACUUAAAGUAGUGCAAUAAUAUUGCUUUAAUUUGGUAUCAUUGUUAAAUAUUGUGUAACUGUG
rnacentral:lncRNA from 1 species